rnacentral:rRNA from 1 species
GAAGCACCGGCUAACUACGUGCCAGCAGCCGCGGUGAUACGUAGGGUGCGAGCGUUGUCCGGAUUUAUUGGGCGUAAAGAGCUCGUAGGUGGUUGAUCACGUCGGAAGUGAAAACUUGGGGCUUAACCCUGGGCGUGCUUUCGAUACGGGUUGACUUGAGGAAGGUAGGGGAGAAUGGAAUUCCUGGUGGAGCGGUGGAAUGCGCAGAUAUCAGGAGGAACACCAGUGGCGAAGGCGGUUCUCUGGACCUUUCCUGACGCUGAGGAGCGAAAGCGUGGGGAGCAAACAGGCUUAGAUACCCCUGGUAGUCCACGCUGUAAACGGUGGGUACUAGGUGUGGGGUCCAUUCCACGGAUUCCGUGCCGUAGCUAACGCAUUAAGUACCCCCGCCUGGGGAGUACGGCCGCAAGGCUAAAAACUCAAAAGGAAGUUGACGGGGGCCCCCGCACAAGCGGCGGAGCAUGCGGAUUAAUUCGAUGCG